CCUACGGGGGGCAGCAGUAGGGAAUCUUCCACAAUGGACGAAAGUCUGAUGGAGCAACGCCGCGUGAGUGAAGAAGGGUUUCGGCUCGUAAAGCUCUGUUGGGAGUGAAGAAAGAUAGAGGGAGUAACUGGCCUUUAUUUGACGGUAAUUACUUAGAAAGUCACGGCUAACUACGUGCCAGCAGCCGCGGUAAUACGUAGGGGGCAAGCGUUGGCCGGAGUUGUUGGGCGUAAAGCGAGUGCAGGCGGGUCCAUAAGACUGAU
rnacentral:rRNA from 1 species